rnacentral:rRNA from 1 species
AGAGUUUGAUCCUGGCUCAGGACGAACGCUGGCGGCGUGCUUAACACAUGCAAGUCGAACGGGGAUUUAGGGUAGCUUGCUACCCGAAGAUCCUAGUGGCGGACGGGUGAGUAACACGUGGGCAAUCUGCCCGUAAGAGGGGGAUAACACCGGGAAAUCGGUGCUAAUACCGCAUAACAUCAUUUGAGUGCAUGCUUGAGUGAUCAAAGGAGUAAUCCGCUUACGGAUGAGCCCGCGGCGGAUUAGCUAGUUGGUGUGGUAAAGGCGCACCAAGGCGACGAUCCGUAGCUGGUCUGAGAGGAUGAUCAGCCACACUGGGACUGAGACACGGCCCAGACUCCUACGGGAGGCAGCAGUGGGGAAUAUUGGACAAUGGGCGCAAGCCUGAUCCAGCCAUGCCGCGUGAGUGAUGAAGGCCUUAGGGUUGUAAAGCUCUUUCGCCGACGAAGAUAAUGACGGUAGUCGGAGAAGAAGCCCCGGCUAACUUCGUGCCAGCCGCCGCGGUAAUAC